ACAAAAAACUUCAGAGUUUGAGGUUCUCAUUCAAUUUUUAAAGUUAGCGAAGGGUGAUCAACGGUCCCUUUUUGUUUUACUCGGUUGGCAGGGGAACUAAGAAAUCCCGCGCAUCGGCCGUCUGAGGGAAAGUGGGAAAUCACACAGGGGCAUGCCACAAUCCCUUCUCGGGGUCUUGGGCACUCCCAAGUGUCAUGGUUCCGGGUCAAACUCUGCUGGCCCUGGGGGAGCCCAGCACCUUAACCGCCAGGCCAUCUGAUGGCCACAAGGACGCACUGGUUUUUGACCAGCAGAUGGCCUAAUGGUUACGUUGUUGGAUUCCCAUGUAGGGACCGCGGUUUGAGUCCCUGGCUCAGCAGCUUGAAACAGGGCAGUGCGCCUGUGGGUACCCAAAGUCCCGAGAGGAGAAUGGAGGAGAAAGGAUUGUGGCAUGGCCACAACUCAUGCGGGGCUGGGGCUGGGGUGAUCUCUCGGUUUCUGUCUUUCAGCUACCACAGGUGUCCUAUAGCUACCCCCCCCCCAAAAUAAAAACCAAUAAAGACAUUUUCCCAAGUGUCAGUCAGUCACGAAGCCGGCUGGCUGCAGGUGAAAUAGCUGCGCGGGAGGGCUAGAACAGCAGGGGACGCUGCGGUCUCCUCCAGCCCUGACUCCGGAAGCGCAAGAGUAAGAAAGUCCAACGUUCUCAGAAAUCAAGCUACGCCAUCGAAGGGCCUGAAAGUGGCACCGUGGUGAAAGUCACUGUGCCAAGGUGACCACGUGGGGACUCCAGAGCGUCCUGGGGACCACCUGCCGGACCCGCUCUCCUAAAGGGCUGCUUGAGGCUGGGAGUGGGCGGCAGCACUCAGAACCACCCUGCUGGCACAGUCUCGCAUGGAGAGAAGGAAAUUCCCGUGCGUGUGAACACAAGAGCAGCAAACCUAGCCUUUUUAAGUUCACGUGUUUCUUCCACGCGAGAUAGGCGCUUCCAACAGGGUCCUCUUGCCAUGACCCACCCCAGCCUCAGCCAGCCAAGAUCACUGGUGGUGCCAGGUGUGCACAGGGAGGAGCUGGGAUCCUUCCACGAGGUACAGCCAGAUCACCACGCCCCGCACCGUGCAGCUGUCGGGUGAGGCUGCUGUGGGCAUGGUCUCACCACCACUGCCCCGUGGGUGGUCCUCUUAAACCUUUGGUCAGGCCGCCUCCCAUGAAUUCAGUCUGUCAGUCUCCUAAACGUUUUGACUUGUUUCAGAAAGCAUUUUUACAACCAUCAGUUCCGAUCAAUGGGAUGACUUGUCGGGAUGACUCCCUUAUAGUCCUCUUGGUCUGUCAAAGUUCUUUUUUGUUCCUGAUCUGCGGGACCACCUGCCAUCGUCCCACAGCAGCCUCCGCUGCCUCGUUCUGAGUGACCUACCGAGCUGGACUCCUGGGAUUUUCUUAGUGAGCCGCUAGACUGUUUUAUUAAUAAGACAUUUAUUUACUCUUCAUUUUUGAUGAGUCUUCCAAGUAACUUUUCCCAGAACACUAAAGCUGUGCAUGUGGAAACAUGCCUCAUCUUGUCCUUGGAAAGUAACGUGGCUAGGUUUAGAAUUCUGGGAACAAAACUGUACCCUCAACCCCAUGUGUGCACGUGCACACGUGCACACACGCACACACUUCCACGGCUGUUACCCAGCACUGUUUCUGAGCGGGUCUGAUGCCAAGCAGCCUGAGUUACGUUUCGCUGAGUUUCCUCUAGACCCCAUCUCUCUAUCUUUUCUUUCAUUUUUCCUCUUUACACGUGGGCCCUUCCAGUCUGAAAACUUGUCUUCCCCAUCAGUCAGGAAAUGUUGAUGUCCCUCACCGCCAUUUUUCUGUUCUAGCUUUCUGAACUUGCCAUUAGGCAAACAGAUCUCCCUCCUGGGUCCCUCCAGGGGUAACUAUUGACCGUUCUGCUGUAUGUCCGGAGAGACCGCCUCAACUCCAUCUUUCAAUUCAUGGACAGCCUGUUCAGUGCCAUGUUUUUUUGUUUGUUUGUUUUUCAAUUUCCCUAAUUCCUUUAGCUUCAGACAACCUUCCUAGUCUGUGCUCUCUAUGGAUGCAGUAGCUUCUCGUGUCCCGUUUCAGUUACUUUUUUCCAAUCAUGACCUUUGUCCCAGGCUCAUGUGUUCUGUGUGUUCUGGAGAAGCUGAUGGCGGUUCUGAUAACGAUUGCUGGUUGGCAAGUACCUACCUAAAUGACCAGGCCACAAGUCCUCCAUAGGGCUGAAAGCAGCGGAAGAUAUUUAAACCCCAAAUCAGAGGAUGAUCAAGAGAAGCUGAACUUAGGAUUUUCUCUCAUUACUUAGUCUGAAUUCCAGUGUUUUUACAGCUUCCAGAGCUGUGGGGAAUGGAGCUAUUUGAUCACAGAAUCAUCGAGUUUGCUCCUGCACCUGCUUGUCAGCCUCCCUCCCUGGGCUCCUGCUGUAGCAGGCAGGAGUCACCAACACCCAGCACAGUGCCUGGCAGAGGUGCUCGAUCCUUGCCUGUGCCCUUUGUCCCCAGCCCGGGCUUCCUCUGUCCUGCGGCCUUGCUGUGGGUAGUGCCCAUCUCCCUGCUCUCCUCUGCAGGCCUGUGACCUGGACACUCACUAACGGGUGGCUGUGGUCUUCACGAAGGCCUGCCCCACACUGACCUUUAACUACUGCGGGCCACUUGACACAGGCAGAACAUGCCAGAGGGACGAGGAGCUGCCUCCGCGCUGAACGCUAGCCCCCGUAGAGCGGUCUCGGCAGCGGUAAAUUCGCGUCCCGCAGCCGAAUCACUGCUUUACCCCGCAUGAAGGGGUGGCAGAGGGUGAGACCCAAUCGGCCAGUGAUCAACUGUAGCUGUCCUUUCUCCCGUGGCUUACAAACCUCUAACCGUCGGUUGCCUGCUUCUGGCUUUGUUCAUUUGUCCUGAACGCCUAACACUUUACCUUACCUUUUAUUAAGGCAUCGUAGUUAAUGUAAGCCGUUGCUUAAGUCUCUAAGACACAGUUCUGACUUUGUUUGCCGGGGACACGCGGGGAGAGGCGACACACCCCCCCAUGGGGAACAGUCACGCCAGUCCCUUCUCCACUCACCCUCCUUCUGGGAAUCUGGGCACACACGUGCCUGCCGUGUUUGUCUAGCUAUGGGAACUAGGGCUCAAACCACACGCUCUGCCACCAGGCCACAGGGCCGGCCCCGAAGCAUCCACUUUGGAAAUCUUGGCAGGCUACUACAGUGGACAGCUGUCCCAGUGCCCGUGUCCUCGGGAAAACACGAGUCGCCGAUGCUUUCGCCCACAAACCUGACUCCAAAUCCCCACCGCAGACUCGCUGAAUGUAGCCAGCACGUGGGCUCGGCCUCUCCCACACCGACAGAGACAGUUGCCGACACAGCACCUGAGUCGCCAGGCACAGUGCUGGAGGGUGAGUGCUACAGCCUACACCUUCCCCUCAGCCUCCGGCUCGCUCUUCCACUCCUCCGCCCUCCGCCCCUUGGCCUCCGUGCUCUUCCACACCUACUUGAGAUGCUUCUGGUUGGUGAGGAAGCCCCAUUCUAGGCAGCGAAGAUGUGGCUGCUAAAAUAACUGAGCUUAGUUUUAAAACAGUUUAAAAACUCAGUGUAAGUGGUCACUGGUCAGUGGCAAGCUAAUGAAACCUGAGCUCUUCCCACCCCGCCCCACAGUGAUGCCUGGAACUGGCUCUCUGCGACACCACUGUCUGACGGCCAGAGAUGUCAUGGCGUGCUGGAGUUAAACCUCACCCAUGUCUUCACGUGCUUUUCUGCACAAUCUGGAAACUAGGACACCUGCCCUUUACAAAUCUACGUCAGCUGCAUCAGCACUUGGUGCCCGGUGCACGACCCCCGAGAUGUGCAGCUCCUUACUCUGUGUCUCAGAGCGAUGGGUUCUGUUACCCAGAAGCCUCAUCCUGCCCGUGGCAAAUGCCGAAUACCCUGAAGGAUCUGGGUCUUUCUCCUUUCAUGCAUGUACGGAGAGAUACACACACUUUAAAGCAGGGUGUAAACACGACUAUAAGCACUAACCUGUCAGAGCUAAGCUCAGAAAGUGGAACCAAACCAGCAAAGACAAAGGCCAUGUUUGUGAGUCAUUUUGCACAGUCGUGAUUUUUAAAUGUGACACUACACGCUGUGGGAAACCAGCUCACAUUUAAUUGUGACAUUUUAAAAUUGUACAAGUAUUUUGACAUCUACACCCCCAUAAUUAGUCUCUUAAAAUGACAGGACACCAACCAAUGGCGGUUAGUGGUUCAGUACGCCUGGCCCUCAGCUCCUAUGCGCAGCACCCAACGUUCCUGUGAAGGACAGCCCGGCGGGCCGGCAGUGAGUCCCCGAGCGGAGGAGUCCAGGUGCUCUGAGCGUCCCUGUCGCAGGGCACUUGUCCGGG